CCUACGGGUGGCAGCAGUGGGGAAUAUUGCACAAUGGAGGGAACUCUGAUGCCGCGACGCCGCGUGAGUGAAGAAGUAAUUCGUUAUGUAAAGCUCUAUCAGCAGGGAAGAAAGUGACGGUACCUGAAAAAGAAGCUCCGGCUAAAUACGUGCCAGCAGCCGCGGUAAUACGUAUGGAGCAAGCGUUCUCCGGAUGUACUGGGUGUAAAGGGCGAGGAGGUGGCAGAGCACGUCCGAAGUGAAAACCCAAAGCUCAACUAUGGGAAUGCUUUAGAAACUGCUCAGCUAGAGUGCAGGAGAGGGAAGUGGAAUUCUUAGUGUAGCGGUGAAAUGCGUAGAGAUUAGGAGGAACCCCGAUUGCGAAGGCAGCUUACUAAACUGUGACUGACAUUGAUGCUCGAAAGUGUGGGGAGCAAACAGGAUUAGAUACCCUGGUAGUC
rnacentral:rRNA from 1 species